UUUUGGUUGGCCUGAGUGUCCCACUUGAAGAGGCAGAUCAGAAGUGCUUGGAAUACUUUUAUAGACAAAGUAUCUAAGGAUUGAACAGUAUGACAUGAAAGCUCUUUCUGAUUCUUUACUGCUAGAAGAGUUACAGAGCCUAACUAAGACAUAUUUGGGGGCUAUUGAUUCUGAAAAAGAAAUCAUAACUAGGAACAGAGGUGUAUGUGAGAUACUAAAUAGUAUAGGGAACAGUACAUUUUGUUGGAGAUCUGGUCAACCUGAAGCAGUUUGAGGCAGAUGAUUUCACUUAGCAGACAAGUCCUAGCCUCAUGAACCUAAUGUCCAUGUAUUGAUCAACAGCACCAAAAGGAUGCUCGUUCUGCCUCAUUUCCAGGCUGAGGAUGGUGUAUGCCAUCUAAGACACUGUUAGCUGUUUGGAGAUGUAAAUAAAACACAAGAGAAGGGCCAUAUGAGAGGUAACAGUUGGCACAAUGCUUCGUCUAGAGGAAGCUAUGUAACAGGCCUGCCAGUGGAUGGACGUACAAGAAGUGAACACAGGAUGUGGAAGCAGACAAGGGCGGCAGGUCCAGCAGACAAGGUGCUAGCUUGUAAAUCCCUUUCAAUUCAGGCUCAUUGGCUAAACCAAGGGAAACAUUCCUCUCUAGAUACUCCCAUACAAUAAUGCAAGUAAUAAGACAGAAAAGCAGAGCCCUAGCUCUGUGGAUGCAGGUGGCUUCGGGAGAG
rnacentral:lncRNA from 1 species